CCCCUUGUCUGUCUUGCUAUGACACAGAAACGUUUCAGAAAGCUGGCCCCUCUUUGCCAUAAGGGAGGGGUUGUAACGUAGGCUAAAGGACAAGGAAUGCUUUUUACAUUUGAUUUUUUAAAAUACAAUCACGGUUUUGUUUCUAAAAUGCAAACUCAAGUUUUUUGUUUGCAAGUGAAAAUGUAUUAAGAAUAUGGAUGCACGAUAAUAUCGGCACAAUAUCGGUAUCGGCCGAUAAAAGCUUAAAAUGACCAUUAUCGGUAUCGGCCGAUAUGAAUAUUUCUGCCGAUGAGCCAAACCGAUAUUCUCCAAGUGAAAUAAUUGACCUGUUUUUCAGAUGUGAAUGUCUGUCUACAUUUGUAAAAUAAUAAAUUUAUGGUAGAAUCAGUACAGAAGAGAUACAUGGAUUUCUCUUCAGUAAAAUUAAAGUUUAAAUAUAUCAGUAUAUAUUUGUAUAUAUAUCGAUAUCGGUAUCGGCAUCGGCCAAAAUUAUUUUGAAAAUAUCGGCAUAUCGAAUAUCGGCCAAAAUCCAAUAUCGUGCAUCCCUAAUUAAGAAUGCUGUGCAAUGUGUUUUUGUCUUUGUUCUAGAAAAAAAAACACUUUAGAAAGUUCUGAUGACGAAACAGACAUUGAGAUGAAGCGACAAUAUGAAAAAGCAAAAAGACAAAAAAAAGUUGCAAAAGAGAGGAUCCUCACUCAGUUGAAGGAUACACUGAGGAAACCACCCCACUCCACUCCAUGCAGAACCAAUCCAUUACAUAGUGAGGAGGAAGUUGAAUCUGAAACGGUGGACACAAACGUGGAUUUGUUCAAUUACCCAGGGAAUUCUCAAUCAACCAAACAAAAAAAGGUUGCAAAUGAGAGGAUCCUCACUCAGCUGAAGGAUACACUGAGGAAACCACUCCACUCUGAUCCACGCAGAACCAUUCCGUUACAUAGUGAGGAGGAAGUUCAAGCCGAAACCGUGGACACAAAUGUGGAUUUGUUCGAUUACCCAGAGAAUUUUCAACCAACUGUAUGUCGUUUCAGACCAUACACCAAAAAAAAAAACCAUUUGGACUGUGUUAUAGUUAUUCUAAUGUAUUUUUAAUCGUAUUUUUUCAGGUUCUCCAAAGCGUUUUUUUUUUUUUUGCAAGUAGAACAUUACCAUGCAAAUCAUUUUUGUUUGAAAUUGUAUUUAUUGUUUUAAAUAUAGGAUACCUUAGAUGCUGUUGAGGCAAGUGGAGAGAGCGUGGAACAGCCAUUAUUUGUCAGUGGUGAAGUGUUGAAAGCUUUGAAAGGUACAGUAUAAAAUACCUGAAAUGAGUUGUGCUGAGGGAUGCUAUGUGGAUAAUUAUGUCUUACAUAUACUAUAUAUACAAUAAUACAUGUGUGAUUGUAAUUUUCUAUUGACUUAAUUUGUAUUUAAAGCAGUAAAAAGUGGUUGUACUGUAUUUCAUUUCUUUAG
rnacentral:lncRNA from 1 species